rnacentral:rRNA from 1 species
CCUACGGGUGACUGCAGUGGGGAAUAUUGGACAAUGGGCGCAAGCCUGACCCAGCAACGCCGCGUGAGGGAAGAAGGCUUUCGGGUUGUAAACUUCUUUUCUGAGGGACGAAGAAAGUGACGAUACCUCAGGAAUAAGCCGCGGCUAACUACGGGCCAGCAGCCGCCGUACUACGUAGGGGGCAAGCGUUAUUCGGAUUUAUUGGGUGUAAAGGGCGUGUAGGCGGGAAAGCAAGUCAGAUGUGAAAACUCAGGGCUCAACCCUGAGCCUGCAUUUGAAACUGUUGUUCUUGAGUGCGGGAGAGGGAAUCGGAAUUCCGGGUGUAGCGGUGAAAUGCGUAGAUAUACGGAGGAACACCAGUGGCGAAGGCGGAUUGCUGGACAGCAACUGACGCUGAGGCGCGAAAGCGUGGGGAGCAAACAGGAUUAGAUACCCUUGUAGUC